GAUGAACGCUGGCGGCGUGCCUAAUACAUGCAAGUCGAGCGAACAGACGAGGAGCUUGCUCCUCUGACGUUAGCGGCGGACGGGUGAGUAACACGUGGAUAACCUACCUAUAAGACUGGGAUAACUUCGGGAAACCGGAGCUAAUACCGGAUAAUAUAUUGAACCGCAUGGUUCAAUAGUGAAAGACGGUUUUGCUGUCACUUAUAGAUGGAUCUGCGCCGCAUUAGCUAGUUGGUAAGUUAACGGCUUACCAAGGCAACGAUGCGUAGCCGACCUGAGAGAGUGAUAGGCGACACUGGAACGGAGACAGGGACCAGAGUCCUGCGGGAGGCAGCAGUAGGGAAUCUGACGCAAUGGGCGAAAGCCUGACGGAGCAGCGCCGCGUGAGUGAUGAAGGUGUUCGGAUCGUAAAACUCUGUUAUUGGGGAAGAACAAAUGUGUAAGGAACUAUGCACGUCUUGACGGUACCUAAUCAGAAAGCAACGGCUAACUACGUG
rnacentral:rRNA from 1 species